rnacentral:antisense_RNA from 1 species
AGCAGAUGACCUGUACUUCUCUGUUCUCUCCCCUACUGCAAAGAGGCAGCGAGGGCAGCAUUAGUAAGCCUGACUCAGGGGAAGUAAGUAGCCUGCAGAGAAAGGGUCCUAGGUCCGCAACCGAGGCGAGUGAACUUGUCGGACAGAUGAAGACUCUAACUGGAAGAAACGAUCAGCGCAUUCAUGGAUGCACCACCAUCCAGAAAUCUCCCAGUGGCUUCCAUACAAAAACUGAUGUUUCUAAAGAUGGAAAGAACAGGUCUAGGAGGCAGGAGAGUAUCUCCUGGCAGUGUUCUGUAGCUCAAAGAAUGAACAACACAGAUGGGUUAAAUGAUUUGCCUAAAGUCACACAGCUCAUAAGGGCCAGAGCCUGCACUUUCAUCCACUAGCCUAUAUUCUGUGCUGUCAUCACUGAUAGCAGUGACUGAGACUGAGAGAAAAAGUCACUUAAGAGCCGAUGGCUGCUACUAAAAAAUUUAAAUGUGUGGCUCAUGUUACAUUUCAACUGGACACUGCUAUGCUGGUUCCAGCAUGAAAGACAGGUGAGAUGGUGCAGAGAAAAUCCUCAGCAACCCUGCAGGCCCAGGCAGGGGGCAUCACCCACUCCAGCCUGCUGCUGGCAGUGACUGCGACCAGUGCCUGCAGCCUUUCCCACUAAGCGGAGGCCCCUCCACUCCCCACUCAGCUUCCCGGAGUCUUGCAACCCCCAAGGACUCCUGGGGUCUGACGGGAAGUAAAUGGUCUCUGUGAUUGGCCAC